GCAUAUCAAUAAGCGGAGGAAAAGAAACCCGUGGGGCUGGAGCGGUAGCUACGGCGAGUGAGCGGCACAGCUCAAAUUUGAAAGCUAGCCUUCGGGUUCGCAUUGUAAUUUGUAGAGGAUGCUUUGGGGUGGCCGCCUGUCUAAGUUCCUUGGAACAGGACGUCAUAGAGGGUGAGAAUCCCGUAUGUGACAGGAAAUGGCGCCCUAUGUAAAGCUCCUUCGACGAGUCGAGUUGUUUGGGAAUGCAGCUCUAAAUGGGAGGUAAAUUUCUUCUAAAGCUAAAUACCGGCGAGAGACCGAUAGCGCACAAGUAGAGUGAUCGAAAGAUGAAAAGCACUUUGGAAAGAGAGUUAAAAAGCACGUGAAAUUGUUGAAAGGGAAGCGCUUGCAAUCAGACUUGUCUUUAACCGUUCGGCCGGUCUUCUGACCGGUUUACUCGGUAAUCGACAGGCCAGCAUCAGUUUCGGCGGUCGGAUAAAGGCCUUGGGAAUGUGGCUCUGCCUUCGGGUAGAGUGUUAUAGCCCAGGGUGUAAUACGGCCAGCCGGGACUGAGGUCCGCGAUUCGUCUAGGAUGCUGGCGUAAUGGUUGUAAGCGACCCGUCUUGAAACACGGACC
rnacentral:rRNA from 1 species